GACGAACUCUGGCGGCGUGCCUAAUACAUGCAAGUCGAGCGGACCGGAUUGGGGCUUGCCUUGAUUCGGUCAGCGGCGGACGGGUGAGUAACACGUGGGCAACCUGCCCGCAAGACCGGGAUAACUCCGGGAAACCGGAGCUAAUACCGGAUAACACCGAAGACCGCAUGGUCUUCGGUUGAAAGGCGGCCUUUGGGCUGUCACUUGCGGAUGGGCCCGCGGCGCAUUAGCUAGUUGGUGAGGUAACGGCUCACCAAGGCGACGAUGCGUAGCCGGCCUGAGAGGGUGACCGGCCACACUGGGACUGAGACGCGGCCCAGACUCCUACGGGAGGCAGGAGUAGGGAAUCUUCCGCAAUGGGCGAAAGCCUGACGGAGCGACGCCGCGUGAGCGAAGAAGGCCUUCGGGUCGUAAAGCUCUGUUGUGAGGGACGAAGGAGCGCCGCUCGAAGAGGGCGGCGCGGUGACGGUACCUCACGAGAAAGCCCCGGCUAACUACGUGCCAGCCGCCGCAGUAA
rnacentral:rRNA from 1 species